rnacentral:rRNA from 1 species
GACGUAGGUGGCGAACGUUAUCCGGAAUUAUUGGGCGUAAAGGGUGCGUAGGUGGCCUGGCAAGUUAUCAGUGGUAAAUCGAGGCCCAACCUCGUGGAAACUGGCAAUACUGCUUGGCUUGAGUGCAGGAGAGGUUAACGGAACUCUAUGUGGAGCGGUAAAAUGCACAGAUAUAUAGAAGAACAUCAAACGGCGAAGGCAGUUAACUAUUCGGUACCUGACGUUGAGGCACGAAAGCGUGGGGAGCAAGACGG